AUAAGGCAUCGCAGCUAUAAUGCAGUCGACGAUACUCUUUAGCUUGCUAGAGAGGAAAGUGGCGCACGGGUGCGUAACGCGUAUGCAACCUACCUUAAUCAGGGGGAUAGCCCGAAGAAAUUCGGAUUAACACCGCAUAAAAUCACAGUACAGCAUUGUACAAUGAUCAAAUAUUUAUAGGAUUAAGAUGGGCAUGCGUGACAUUAGUUAGUUGGCGGGGUAACGGCCCACCAAGACCACGAUGUCUAGGGGAUCUGAGAGGAUGACCCCCCACACUGGUACUGAGACACGGACCAGACUCCUACGGGAGGCAGCAGUAAGGAAUAUUGGUCAAUGGAGGCAACUCUGAACCAGCCAUGCCGCGUGCAGGAAGACAGCCCUCUGGGUCGUAAACUGCUUUUAUUCGGGAAUAAACCUAUCUACGUGUAGAUAGCUGAAUGUACCGAAGGAAUAAGGAUCGGCUAACUCCGUGCCAGCAGCCGCGGUAAUACGGAGGAUCCAAGCGUUAUCCGGAUUUAUUGGGUUUAAAGGGUGCGUAGGCGGCUUUUUAAGUCAGGGGUGAAAGACGGUGGCUCAACCAUCGCAGUGCCCUUGAUACUGAAGAGCUUGAAUGAACUAGAGGUAGGCGGAAUGUGACAAGUAGCGGUGAAAUGCAUAGAUAUGUCACAGAACACCGAUUGCGAAGGCAGCUUACUAUGGUUAUAUUGACGCUGAGGCACGAAAGCGUGGGGAUCAAACAGGAUUAGAUACCCUGGUAGUCCACGCCCUAAACGAUGAAUACUCGCUGUUAGCGAUACACAGUUAGCGGCUAAGCGAAAGCGUUAAGUAUUCCACCUGGGGAGUACGGUCGCAAGAUUGAAACUCAAAGGAAUUGACGGGGCCCGCACAAGCGGAGGAGCAUGUGGUUUAAUUCGAUGAUACGCGAGGAACCUUACCCGGGCUUGAAAGUUAGUGAAUCAUUUAGAGAUAGAUGAGUCCGCAAGGACACGAAACUAGGUGC
rnacentral:rRNA from 1 species